GCAACUGAAGUCCUAGAAAAAAU
rnacentral:piRNA from 1 species